rnacentral:lncRNA from 1 species
AAGCAAGCGGACAGUGAAGUAGAAGAAAAACAGCCUAUUGAGGGCCAUUAGCAUUAAAUCAGCUCAUCCAGCUUGAGAUGUUAUGUGAGUGCAACUUGCUAGAGGCUGGGAGAGAGUACUGAAAAAGCAUUGCUCUGUUGCUCUGCUUUUAUGUUCUUUCAUUGGUGUUUCUGGACGUAGGAUCAUAGAAUCACAGACUCAUAGACACGUUAAGGUUGGAAAAGGCCACUGAGAUCAUCUGGUCCAACUGCUGACCCAUCACCACCAUGCCCAUGUGAGGUAGGAUGCUCUUUCUUGUGACAAGGGGGAAUGGUCUUAAACUGAGACAGGGGAGGUUUAGGUUAGGUAUUAGCAGGAAGUUUUUCCCCCAGAGGGUGGUGACGCACUGAACAGGUUGCCCAAGGAGGCUGUGGAUGCCCCAUCCCUGGAGGCAUUCAAGGCCAGGCUGGAUGUGGCUCUGGGCAGCCUGGUCUGCUGGUUGGCGACCCUGCACAUAGCAGGGGGUUGGAACCAGAUGAUCAUCGUGGUCCUUUUCAACCCAGGCCAUUCUAGGAUUCUGUCAUUCUAUGAUACACAGCCUUUGGCAUGCCAGGGAGGGACUGCAGGCUCUUGCAUAUAGAGGUGCCCCGACACCUUUCAUUACAUGGCUGAAGAAAAGAAAACCCCUUCAUUCAGCCCCUCUGAGCAGGUUUUCCAGCCCCUCCCGUCUUCCCCCUGAUUGCUUAUCACGGGAUAUAUUUAUCCUAAAUCUUUCUUUUCUCGUUUCUGAGUCUCCCCCUCCACCUCUUCCCUUCCUGCCAUUUCUCCCACCGUUUCUCCCUCCCAGCAGAUCACGUGCACACCCCCUGUGCAUGGCCAGGGCUGAGCCUGCAGAGGAGUGGAGCUUCAGACUAAACUUUUAAUUUGCACCCUCCAUCCUUCAAGGGCACAAAACGUUGUUUUUCUCCACCGCAGGACUGGGAGGCUCUGGUUUGUGCCACUGUCGAUCGAGACAGCACUGGUGUAAUCACAGCGUGUUCCCUCCCUCUGGAAUUCAGCAGAGACCAGCUCCUUUUAUAGCCUGGCUGGAGCCCCUCUACGGGAGCAAUCCUGUGCCUCUGACAGCGCUGCACGUUGACCUCAAGGGCCUUUGAGUGGUUCC